rnacentral:rRNA from 1 species
CUACGGGCGGCACCAGUGGGGAAUAUUGGGCAAUGGGCGCAAGCCUGACCCAGCAACGCCGCGUGAGGGAAGAAGGUUUUCGGAUUGUAAACCUCUGUCCUUGGGGACGAAGAAGUGACGGUACCCAAGGAGGAAGCUCCGGCUAACUACGUGCCAGCAGCCGCGGUAAUACGUAGGGAGCAAGCGUUGUCCGGAAUUACUGGGCGUAAAGGGUGCGUAGGCGGCAUAUUAAGUCAGGUGUGAAAUACUCGGGCUCAACCCGGGGGCUGCAUUUGGAACUGAUAUGCUUGAGUGUGAGAGAGGAAAGUGGAAUUCCUAGUGUAGCGGUGGAAUGCGUAGAUAUUAGGAGGAACACCAGUGGCGAAGGCGACUUUCUGGCUCAUAACUGACGCUGAGGCACGAAAGCGUGGGGAGCAAACAGGAUUAGAUACCCUCGUAGUC